GUGAGGGGCGCCCCUGCCCUCAGCGGGCUCCUCUCGCCCACAGCGCGGCUGGAAGGGGCCCCACGGCCUCACCUGUCGGUGCAGGGCCGGCCGAGGGCAGGACAGGGAGGAGGAAAUAGAAAUUCCCCCCCGCCCCCCAAGGAAGAACCUGGGGACGGCUUGCACCAAGCUCCCAGCACCAGAUAGUUCAGCCAAACUUAGCUCCACGGUUGAAGCUGAACAAGCAUUGAGAGCAGGAGCUGCCCCCUCCUCGUCCCUGAUCCCCCUCAGAGCUGCCCGGGCAGACAGCGGGGCAGAGGCUCAGCACCACGGCCUGGUCCUGGCAAGUGCAGAUCAUAGCCCUUAUGUCACAUACAAACCCUGCAAAUUUGGUGCAACAGGUCCAGCCACACACAGUGUAUAAGACUUUGCCUUGGCAGAAAGGGAAUGGAGCCAUUUGGGAUGCAGAUGAUCCUUGACUUCCUUCUGCUCCAUCUCAAAGAAGUACCCGCUGAAGCUGCAUGCAAAACUGUUUAAAUGAAAAGGUGCUAUGUGAAAACCUAGACUUUUCUGACACCUCCCCUGACUGAGGCCUGUAAGGAGGGUGGAUGAUCAGAACAGUCUCUUCUGACUCUAACAGCGACAUACCUUAAAAACUGGCACAAUGCAAUGUCCCAGAAUCAUCUAAUUACCCAACAAGAACUUUUUGAAAACUAAGAAGGAAAUUGAAUCACAGGAGAGAGAGAUAUAUUCCAGAUCCCAAGAGAAAGAUGCACAGAGCAAAUCUUGCAGAGAUAAACCAGGUCUGAGAAGGGAAGAUGUGCUAUAAGCAGGAGAAUAAGAUGAAGACAAAACUUUUAAGUUGUUCCAUUUCAUUGACUCUCACUAGUGACUGCUUGAAACUGUUCUUUCUGAAUUGCCAGAAAUGGUAUUGUGGUUGGCAUAAAUUGUGAGACUGCUUCAGAACAAGGCACGUUUUACUUUAAAUACAUUUUGACAUGUUCCUGUACUGAGUUUCAAUAAGAAUACUUGAAAGCUUUCUUUAAAGAGGACAUAAUACUUCCCUGCUUCCCAAGUAAUUUUUUUAUAGCAAAUCUUAUUGUAUGAAGGCAUCUUUCAGAAAGGUCUUAAGUAAUUUUCUCCAGCAUCAUGAAAUCAUUAUCACUGCAAUACUCCAACUGCCAAUGUCAUCCAGUACCAAGAAGCUGCACUGACUUAAAAAGAGAAGAACAAAAACCAAAUUAUCAGAUAGUUGCUGGUAUAAAUGAAAAGCUACUUUACUACUACAGUCUAUCCUGUCACACUCCCUUCCUGCACACACUUCCCACCUUCCCCAAUAAACUCUCUGAACAGGCUGAGGAAGCACAGGCUAUGUUAGAAAAGCUAGUCAAGGCUACAGUCAUUACUUGCAUCAUAUCACAACUGUGAAAAACAGGUGAAAGCAACCCAACCUGACUCCAGAAUUUUAGGUGAUUUUUUUAUACCAAACCCGAUCAGCUACAUCGGGUGGCCAUAUUAUUUUAAAUCUCACACCUCUGGAGUGAUAGUACCUCAAACUCUUCUUUAGGUUCCUCAAAACAUCACUCACUUUCUUUGCUUAAAGCAUUCCUUCCCCCGCUCUUAUUAUCUAGUUCAAACUUUUCCUUCCUUAGCCUUAAGCGAUUGCUCUUUCUCCUACCAUCUGAGACCAAGCAAUUCCCUCUCUUCAUUUAUCUUACUACCUUGACGAUAUUAAUAGAGUAUUAAUAGUCACCUCUACUCACUCUAAAAAUUGAGUUCACUCUGCUUUUUGCUGCCCUCCUUUGUGUUCUCUCGUUUCCUCAGUGCCUCCACAAGCAAGAGACUUAACUGACAAAGUAUUCAAGAUAAGCAGGUCUGUGUAUAGGACCUUAUAAAAAAAAAAAAAACAACCACCUUAUUGCUCUGUAACAGGAACUAUGAUAUAAACCAGUGUGAUACUUUUUUUUUAAUUAACUUUGAUGAUUCUACGUUGAUCCAUGAACAUGAUGUCCUACAGACCGGAGAAAUCCCAUUAAUCAAUUUUAAAGGAAAAUGUGAGUGGAACAAACCAAGAUGACUCAGUUGCUGAAGAGUACAUGCAUUCUUUCAUCACAAACACAUCUGGCCAUUGUUACUGCAUGGCCAAAGCACAACUGUGCUUUCAGCUUACCCCUCUGCAUCCUUUUCUCAAGCUCCUGAGACAGAACACCAUUAAGUAUUAGUAAGAAUUAACUGUUACAUUGGGACUGGAUAGAGUUGAAAAAAGGGUUGAACAAAAAAUGACCCUCAUAAUUGGGCAAACGUGAGGUCACGACGAAGGAAUGCAGAAAAGGAUAUCCCAAAAUAACCCCACAUAAACAUUGAAAAGCUUUUCCACUACAUAUUUAUAUGCAAAUAGAAAAUUAUAAAACCAUUGAAGAGACAUGGGCUUUCCCGCCCAUCCCCACCCACCAUGAGAAGACAUGACAAUUUUAUUUUCUGGUCUGCACUACUUAGCUCUUCACAUGAAUUACAU